rnacentral:rRNA from 1 species
AGGGGAUCUUCGGACCUUUCGCUAUGAGAUGAGCCUGCGUUAGAUUAGCUAGUUGGUAGGGUAAAGGCCUACCAAGGCGACGAUCUAUAGUUGGUCUGAGAGGACGAUCAGCCACACUGGGACUGAGACACGGCCCAGACUCCUACGGGAGGCAGCAGUGGGGAAUAUUGGACAAUGGGCGAAAGCCUGAUCCAGCAAUACCGCGUGUGUGAAGAAGGCCUUAGGGUUGUAAAGCACUUUCAAUUGGGAGGAAAACCUGCCGGCCAAUACCCGGUAGCUUGACAUUACCUUUAGAAGAAGCACCGGCUAACUCCGUGCCAGCAGCCGCGGUAAUACGGAGGGUGCGAGCGUUAAUCGGAAUUACUGGGCGUAAAGCGUGCGUAGGCGGUUCGUUAAGUCAGAUGUGAAAGCCCUGGGCUCAACCUGGGAACUGCAUUUGAAACUGGCGGACUAGAGUUUAGUAGAGGGGAGUGGAAUUUCAGGUGUAGCGGUGAAAUGCGUAGAUAUCUGAAGGAACACCAGUGGCGAAGGCGACUCCCUGGACUAGAACUGACGCUGAGGUACGAAAGCGUGGGUAGCAAACAGGAUUAGAUACCCUGGUAGUCCACGCCGUAAACGAUGUCGACUAGC